AACUUUUUUCUCAAUUGUUGUCAUGUCUCUCCCUUAUGUUAGAAAAACUAACUUGUUUCCUCAACGUUGGAAAUCUAUUUUUCUGCAUUAUCGUGUUAAUAUAUACUGCACAUCAUUAUUUGGUUCCUGACACUGAACCACGUGUAAGGGGAGAAUAUAAUAUACUCUCGUAUAUAACGUAUAUCAAAUUGAUACAGAUAACUUUGGUCUCAUAAGCAAUAGUUUAGCUAUUAAGUAGAGGCACUCAAUAAAUUAUUUUGCUAAACCAGCUGUGAUAUAAACUAACUUAAUUAUCAAGAUGAACUUCUUGAAUAGAAAAUCUGGAAAUUAUGCUCGAAAUUAAACUACUGAGCAAGUUACCUCGCAAGAACCGGCCAGAUUGCGGGUUAAUAACAAUCACGCAUAUAACCAUCCCAUAGAUGCAUCUUAUGUGGUAUACAUGGCAGGUGAAUGGGCCAAUAUUCACCUUUGAUAUUUCCAAAAUUCAUGGAAUUCAAUCCAAAUUUUAGUUGGUCUAUUAAUUAAUAAGAACAAGCAAUGUAAGAAAAUUCAUAAAGAACUUUCUAGUUCUUUAAUAUUUACCCAUGUGAACUCUCUAUUAUUUUUGCACAUCAUACUUAAAUUGAUAUGGCUAUAUUGAUUGUGUCAACUGAAUAAAUUAUCAAUAUUGAUAAGUUCAUGUUUACACCAUGACAUAUGAUCUUCUCAAUAAACUCCAGGUUUAUUAUGAUAUGGGUUUUUAUAUCAAUAAACAUCCACUUUAUUGUGCUAUUCGUUUAUUUGUGUAGUACAAAUUGAAUAUGGGUUUUUAUAUCAAUAAACAUCCACUUUGUUGCGGUAUUUGUUUAUUUGUGUAGUACAAACUGGAAAAUAAAGCACAAGUUGUAGUAAUAGAAGAAUUAAAUUUUUCCUUUAUUUAUAGUCUCAAUAUAAUCAACCGCUUUUGCGUAUACUUUGGAAACUGAAUAA
rnacentral:lncRNA from 1 species